GCCGACGUAGCUCAGAUGGUAGAGCAGCCGCUUUGUAAGCGGCUUGUCGCGAGUUCGACUCUCGCCGUCGGCUCCA
rnacentral:tRNA from 1 species